CACGUAGGGCGCAAGCGUUGUCCGGAAUUAUUGGGCGUAAAGAGCUCGUAGGCGGUCUGUUGCGUCCGCUGUGAAAACUCGGGGCUUAACCCCGAGCCUGCAGUGGAUACGGGCAGACUAGAGUCCGGAAGAGGAGAGUGGAAUUCCUGGUGUAGCGGUGAAAUGCGCAGAUAUCAGGAAGAACACCCGUGGCUAAGGCGGCUCUCUAGUACGUGACUGACGCUGAGACGCGAAAGCGUGGGGAGCGAACAGG
rnacentral:rRNA from 1 species